rnacentral:rRNA from 1 species
AGUGAACGCUGGCGGUAGGCCUAACACAUGCAAGUCGAACGGCAGCACAGUAAGAGCUUGCUCUUACGGGUGGCGAGUGGCGGACGGGUGAGGAAUACAUCGGAAUCUACUUUUUCGUGGGGGAUAACGUCGGGAAACUUACGCUAAUACCGCAUACGACCUACGGGUGAAAGCAGGGGAUCUUCGGACCUUGCGCGAUUGAAUGAGCCGAUGUCGGUUUAGCUAGUUGGCGGGGUAAAGGCCCACCAAGGCGACGAUCCGUAGCUGGUCUGAGAGGAUGAUCAGCCACACAGGAAGUGAGAGACGGUCCAGACUCCGACGGGAGGCAGCAGUGGGGAAUAUUGGACAAAGGGCGCAAGCCUGAACCAGCCAUGCAACGUGGGUGAAGAAGGCCUGCGUGUUGUAAAGCCCUUUUGUGGGGAAAGAAAAGCAGCAGGUUAAUACCCCGCUGUUCGGACGGUACCCAAAGAAUAAGCACCGGCUAACUUCUU